GGAGUUGUGGCUCAAUGGUAGGGCACCUGUUUUUGCAUACCAAAGGUUCCACGUUCAAUCCCUGGCACCACCU
rnacentral:tRNA from 1 species